GACGAACGCUGGCGGCGUGCUUAACACAUGCAAGUCGAACGGAAAGGCCCUGCUUUUGUGGGGUGCUCGAGUGGCGAACGGGUGAGUAACACGUGAGUAACCUGCCCUUGACUUUGGGAUAACUUCAGGAAACUGGGGCUAAUACCGGAUAGGAGCUCCUGCUGCAUGGUGGGGGUUGGAAAGUUUCGGCGGUUGGGGAUGGACUCGCGGCUUAUCAGCUUGUUGGUGGGGUAGUGGCUUACCAAGGCUUUGACGGGUAGCCGGCCUGAGAGGGUGACCGGCCACAAUGGGACUGAGAUACGGCCCAGACGCCUACGGGAGGCAGCAGUGGGGAAUAUUGCACAAUGGGCGGAAGCCUGAGGCAGCAACGCCGCGUGCGGGAUGACGGCCUUCGGGUUGUAAACCGCUUUCGCCUGUGACGAAGCGUGAGUGACGGUAAUGGGUAAAGAAGCACCGGCUAACUACGUG
rnacentral:rRNA from 1 species